CCGCUCCCUGAGGUAGCGGCUGUGGGGAGGUCGCGGAGAGGUUUUCCAGGGUCCUUCAGGCACUCUGGAGACGAUAGCAUAGCUAUUUGUGGUGUUUCGGCACUCCACAAGCUGGAGGCAGUCGAUACAUCUUUUCUUUGACAUGGGAAGAAUCAUAGACCUUCAGAUGAUACCAGAUGCUGCGGAAGGUUUGGAGCCUGGGGCUGCGUGGUGUCUGCAGUGGAACGGCAAGGCAGAUCUACCAGCUUGGAAGAGUAAGCUGACCCUUGAGUAACAGAUGAGGCCAUUGUCCUCUCCUCACACUGGCUUUAUGUGCACGGAAGAAUUUAAAGUGAGAGCAAAACAUCUCAGAAAACUUGGUCCCAGCCAGUGGAGACCCUCCCAGCUGUCAGCGAGAAGGAAACACACCCUCCUGAGUCGCUUCCCUCACAGCUGCUUUAACAUGUUUUUGGAGCCAGGCCCUAGAUCAUCCACAUGAUAGGCAAAGAAUCUGUGUUGCUCUCAUAACCCUCUGUGCAUUAGUGCUCAGGGAACAUCAUAUCCUUUUAAAGAGCUGACAACCAGCCUCAGUCUAAAUACUAAUUUUCUAAAAUUGUUGGUGUGCCAAGCACUUUCUCAAUCAAAUUUUAUGUGCUUUUUCAUCAAGCAAGGCAUUUAGGGCUCCCAAACAACCAAAAUAUAAUCUCAGAAUGCUUCAAGUUACAACUGGAGGGAGAAAAAGGGAGUCAGCAGAUGAAUCGAGCUACAAUAACCUAUAAUCCUCCAUUAUGGAGCAUCAGCUGUAGUAGCUACAUCUAAACUGCAGUAAGAUAAUGAGUAUGCAUGUACUUCCACAGAAAGGCACAUGCAUGUGUAAAACCAUAUGUAAAUCACCGCGCUCUCCCCACCCCCCUUGUUAGCUAUGAUGAUUUGAACAUUUUAAUCCUAUUUGAAACAUUUUCUUUAAAAUGGAGCCUUUGGGCUUUUGGAAUAAAAUUACAAAGGAAAGAAGAAAAGCAGCUCUUACAAGAAACAAAGGAAACACUGCAAGGUCAAAUAGAGUAUUAAUAAUAAUGUCUCAUGUGACCUGACAAUAUCUUUAUUCUAAACAUCUUGCUGCAACAGCUUUUAAAGUGCAGGUCAUAGACAGAUGGCAGUCUGUGAAACAUUGCCCAGUCAGGCUGUCCUGACUCAUUGUUUCCAGAUGCUACACAAUCUUAAGUAAUUUUAUUAUCUUUAUUUUUUUUUUCACUUUAAACUGUUGCUAUAGUUUCAUGGCAGUUGCCGGUAGGAAUUGGAGUCAUGCUUCCAUUGCAAAUAAACCCAAGCCUUUUUAUUUUGACUCUCACUGCUCAGAUAUGAUAGAAGCUUGCUACUUUUUUUGUUUUCAUUAAAGUAUUUGUGAAGAGGAAGCUUGAUUGAAGUGGACCUCAUGGUCUACCAAGACUAGCUGCUUAUUUCUAUGUUAUCACAUACCUCUACCACGUCAAUUACAAUGAUGAUAAAACCAGUUCUUCUGGAUCUUGUUGUACCCCUUGUUGGUGAGCCUGGUUCCUAGUAUCCUCUUCUUAAUUAUCCUACAUGAAGAUUCAGUUCAAAAUAUGAAGGAUAAAAACAAUUUCUAAAAGUUAAUAUUUCUGCAGUGUUGUAAAAUCCAUAGGGACUGUGACAAAACCCAUUUCUCUCUAAACAGAGACAUAUUUGUUAGAUGUUGCCUCCUCUAACAGUCCAAAGCCUCUCUCCAUAUAUACACGUUAUUAAUAAAAACAUCAUUUUAACUCCA